AAAGCUCCAACGCUUGCUCGCCUCUCGCCUCCUCGUGGGCGCGAUGCAGCGGGGAUUUCGCUUUUUCUCUGCUCCUUUCUGCUCAAGAACUUCAAUUCCAUCUGCAUUGGUGGGAUUCUUCCGAUUGUUUACUCAACAUCGUAGCCAUGUCGAAAAGGGUUCUUUGCAAGUUUUUUGCUCGUCGGACCUGUCUGAAAGGGGAACAUUGUGAGUUUUCGCAUGAUUGGCAAGACCCUCCAAAUAAUAUAUGCACCUUCUAUCAGAAGGGAAUUUGUGUAUAUGGGAGCAGGUGCAGAUAUGAACAUGUUAGAAUUUCGCAGUUGCAGUCUUCUGCACCAUCUUCUUCGGUGCUUGCUCGCCAACAUUUGCUGUCGAGCUCUGAUCCUACACCUGCAAAUUAUGAAACUGUAGUGGGUGGUGUAGGUCUCGGGACAGGGACAACCACAGAACAUUUGAAUUGUAGCAAACGUGAUCACUAUCCCAAAAAACCGGGAUGGAAUCAGAAGAUAGGGCCUCAAGAUUCACGGGAUGAUGAAAAAAAUGUGAAGCUAAAGAGUCAAAAUGCAGCCGAUCAAUCAAUCUGCUCUUUUGCAGCUGCUGGUAAUUGUCCACGAGGGGAAAAAUGUCCUCACAUUCACGGGGAUUUAUGCUCCUCUUGUGGGAAGCAUUGCUUGCAUCCUUUCAGGCCUCAGGAGAGAGAGGAGCAUAUAAAAAAAUGUGAGAAACUGCAAAAGCACCUCGAAGCAUUAAAACAUAGUCAAGAAAUAGACUGCAGCGUUUGCCUUGAACGUGUUCUCUCGAAACCAACAGCAGCUGAACGCAAAUUCGGAAUAUUGUCGGAGUGUGAUCAUCCUUUUUGCAUUUCCUGCAUCAGGAAUUGGCGUAGUAGUUCUCCAUCGUCAGGAUUUGAUGUAAAUUCUGCAUUGAGAGCCUGCCCCAUAUGCCGAAAGCUUUCAUAUUUUGUCAUUCCUAGUGUGAUUUGGUACUCCACAAAAGAAGAAAAACAAGAAAUUAUUGCCAGCUAUAAAACAAAACUCAGAUCUAUUGAUUGCAAGCACUUCGACUUUGGGAGCGGGACUUGCCCAUUUGGGAGUAGUUGUUUCUAUAAGCACGCAUACCGUGAUGGUCGUUUGGAGGAAGUGGUUCUACGCCAACUUGGUUAUGAUGAUGGAACUACAAUCAUUGUAAAAAAUAUUAGGCUCUCAGAUUUGCUUAGCAAUUUGCAAAUGAGGUGAAGAAACAUAGUCAACGCUCUUGUGGUUUCAGAUACAUGUCUCAAACGGCUAAAUUGUACCAUAUAGGAAUUAGACGUUACUGGGAUUUGUAAGUAAAAUGCUGUGUGCAGAACGGGCUUCGGUUAUCUGGAUUCAAGGUGCAGACACUGUGCUAAACAUGUGGUAAUCCUUCAAGAAUCCUAAACAAACUGUGUGAGUGUGGCCAUACAGAGAAAUGUAAAUCAAAA